rnacentral:rRNA from 1 species
UACGUAGGCAGCAAGCGUUGUUCGGAGUUACUGGGCGUAAAGGGUGCGUAGGUGGCUCUAUAAGUAUGGUGUGAAAUCUCCCGGCUUAACUGGGAGGGUGCGCCGUAGACUGUGGGGGCUAGAGUGUGGGAGAGGAAAGUGGAAUUCCUGGUGUAGCGGUGGAAUGCGUAGAGAUCGGGAAGAACACCCGUGGCGAAGGCGGCUCUCUGGGACGGUACCGACGCUGAGACGCGAAAGCGUGGGGAGCGAACAGG